GGCCUGGUAGUUCAGUUGGUUAGAAUGCCAGCCUGUCACGCUGGAGGUCGAGGGUUCGANUCGCGGAUAGAUCACCA
rnacentral:tRNA from 1 species